rnacentral:rRNA from 1 species
GUCUUUUUGAUUAUAAUUUAAAGUCUAGCCUGCCCAAUGAAUAUUUAAAUGGCCGCGGUAUUUUGACCGUGCAAAGGUAGCAUAAUCAUUAGUUUUUUAAUUGAAAGCUAGAAUGAAAGGUUGGACGAGAAAAUAACUGUCUCAUUAUAAUUUAAUUAGAAUUUUAUUUUUAAGUUAAAAAGCUUAAAUUUAUUUAAAAGACGAGAAGACCCUAUAGAGUUUAAUAUUUAUAUAAAUUUUAUUUUUUAUAAUUUAAAUAAUUUAUUUAAAUAUUUUGUUGGGGUGAUGAUAAAAUUUAGUUAACUUUUAUUUUUUUUAUACAUUGAUUUAUGAAUAUUUGAUCCAUUUUUAAUGAUUAUAAGAUUAAAUUACCUUAGGGAUAACAGCGUAAUUUUUUUAGAGAGUUCAAAUCGAAAAAAAAGAUUGCGACCUCGAUGUUGGAUUAAAGUUAAUUUUUGGUGUAGAAGCUAAAAUAUUGAGUCUGUUCGACUUUUAAAACUUUACAUGAUCUGAGUUUAAACCGGUGUAAGCCAGGUUGGUUUCUAUCUUUAAAUAAUUAAAUAUUUUAGUACGAAAGGACCAAAUAUUUGUAAUAAUUAUUAUAUUUUGAAUAU